GACUUUAUAGUUGAUAAACAAUAUUUAAUUGCAGAUUAAAAGGAGUAUAUGGUGUACUAUAGUUU
rnacentral:tRNA from 1 species